AACGUAGGAGGCAAGCGUCAUCCGGAAUUACUGGGCGUAAAGCGCACGUAGGCGGCUUUGUAAGUUAGAGGUGAAGGCCCGGAGCUCAACUCCGGAAUUGCCUUUAAGACUGCAUCGCUUGAAUCCAGGAGAGGUGAGUGGAAUUCCGAGUGUAGAGGUGAAAUUCGUAGAUAUUCGGAAGAACACCAGUGGCGAAGGCGGCUCACUGGACUGGUAUUGACGCUGAGGUGCGAAAGCGUGGGGAGCAAACAGG
rnacentral:rRNA from 1 species